rnacentral:lncRNA from 1 species
GCGUUACUGGGGCAAGCAACGCUUUUGCCAUCUCUCAUCCUUCUCUCGUCUUUCACCAGCCCUGAGGGAGCGGGACAAGUCCUCGCUGGCCCCUGAGGGCCCCUCCGGCUCGCCGAAAGUCCCAGACAUGACCCUCAGCCCACGGAGACCCCGUGCUCAGCCUGCUGCCUCCAGCAGCUCUUCCUCCAGCAACAGUCACACUGCUGCAGCCUGCCUCAACCACUGCCACAACAGCAGCUCUGGAUCCCUCCCAGGGGACAUGGACGAGAUGGACAGCCUCCGCUUCGGGAUAAAGCGCUUCAACGAGUAUGCGGUGUCCCUGACCCCUUCCACCACCGGCUCCAUCAUCGUAGAGGGUGAGUGGGUUAGGGAGGGAGCUGCUCUUUAGAGCUUAGAUACAUGAGAGCGAGUACCGUACAGCCGCUGUGGACAACCACUACUGAGUGUGCAGGCUUUUCCUCCAACCCUGUUGUAACUAACACGAUUCAGCUAAUCAAAGUCCUAUUGGGCAGCCAAUUAGUAGAAUCAGGUGUGCUAGAUUAGGGUUGGAGAUAAAGCCUUCAGGAGGGUAGCUCUCCA